rnacentral:rRNA from 1 species
GAGGAAAGAGGGAGGCGUGCUUAACACAUGCAAGUCGAACGAAGCACUUUAUUUGAUUUCCUUCGGGACUGAUUAUUUUGUGACUGAGUGGCGGACGGGUGAGUAACGCGUGGGUAACCUGCCUUGUACAGGGGGAUAACAGUUGGAAACGGCUGCUCAUCCCGCCUAAGCGCCCGGCCUCGCGUGCUGCCGUGUGCCCCCCUCCGGUGGUCUCAGCUGGACCCGCGUUGGAUUCGCUAGUUGGUGAGGUAACGGCCCACCAAGGCGACGAUCCAUAGCCGACCUGAGAGGGUGACCGGCCACAUUGGGACUGAGACACGGCCCAAACGCCGACGGGAGGCAGCAGGGGGGAAGAGGGCACAAGGGGCGAAAGCCGGAUGCAGCGACGCCGCGUGAGCGAAGAAGUAUUUCGGUAUGGAAAGCGCUAGCAGCAGGGAAGAGAAUGACGGGACCGGACGAAGAAGCACCGGCUAAAUACGUG